GUAGUAUUCCCUCCGUCCCAAAAUUCUUGUCUUACAUUUGUUUAGAUAUGAAUGUAUCUAACACUAAAAUAUAACUAGAUACAUCCGUAUUUAGACAAAUUUAAGACAAGAAUUUAGGGACGGAGGUAGUAUAAA
rfam:Triticum aestivum genome assembly, contig: Triticum_aestivum_CS42_TGACv1_scaffold_227446_3B